rnacentral:rRNA from 1 species
AUACGGAGGGUGCAAGCGUUGUUCGGAAUCACUGGGCGUAAAGGGCGCGCAGGCGGUUUGGUAAGUCAGAUGUGAAAGCCCAUGGCUCAACCAUGGAAGUGCAUUUGAAACUGUCAGACUUGAGUACUAGAGGGGAAAGUGGAAUUCCCGGUGUAGAGGUGAAAUUCGUAGAUAUCCGGAGGAAUACCGGUGGCGAAGGCGACUUUCUGGCUAGAUACUGACGCUGAGGCGCGAAAGCGUGGGGAGCAAACAGGAUUAGAAACCCCGGUAGUCC